UCCGAUUCAGAAGAGCAAAGAGCCGAACCGGGAAACCGAACUGGAGACUCCAACUAGGGUCGGACCACCGAAUCGGAGGGCCGUGGCCGCCGAUAGGAGGCGGUGGGGGAGUCGCACUGAACUGUUGGAGGCUCAUCCGGGACGUGAUGCUGGCCAUCCGGUCCGUCCUCCGCGACGCCAUGGCCGAUUUCUCCAUCCUUUACCGGAUCAGAAGCCUUCGGAGCCUACUCAAGUUCCUCAGAUCCAGCGUCGGCUCCGAUGAUUCCAUUCGCCUAUUCCUCCGCUCUCCAACCAUUCCCCAACUGCGAGGUGUGCUCUGAUCUAGAAAUUUCUGUGGCAAAUGAAUUAGCAACCACUUUUGGAUCCAUCCAAUAUCUUUGAUGAUGGCUUUCUUUGGCUUUGGUGCAUCUCAUGCAACAAGUGUACUUGAUCCUGAAAGAUGGACGUAGAUCCUUAUGGACGAAUUGCAACGUGCAUAUGAUCCUGGAUGCUGGAUCCUGAUGGAUCUAACCAGAAAAGCACAGAUCAUGGAGGAACCAUUGAGGUGAUUGCAGGUGGUAAUUAAUGCACUAUCUACUUGAGGAACCAUUGAGCAAGCGGCAUGCCUGGUUGUUUUAUAUCAUUAAUGUUAUAUUUACCAUCCGAUCAGAUGGUAUUGCUACUCCAAUAAGACAUCUGCUCGCCUAUCUUCAAAUUUGAUGGUGAUUACAAUCUACCCAUCGCGAUGGGUUUCUGCAUAUUAUAUAAAACUUUGCUUUGUCUGAUGUGCUACGGUGAUGCAUAUUUGUGACUCAAUUGCAUGAUGGUUCGAGGGUCA